UACGGAGGGUGCAAGCGUUAUCCGGAUUCACUGGGUUUAAAGGGUGCGUAGGUGGGCAGGUAAGUCAGUGGUGAAAUCUCCGGGCUUAACCCGGAAACUGCCGUUGAUACUAUUUGUCUUGAAUAUUGUGGAGGUAAGCGGAAUAUGUCAUGUAGCGGUGAAAUGCUUAGAUAUGACAUAGAACACCAAUUGCGAAGGCAGCUUACUACACAAUGAUUGACACUGAGGCACGAAAGCGUGGGGAUCAAACAGG
rnacentral:rRNA from 1 species